GGUUAACAUAGUUACUUAUUCUAUUCCUUCUAUUUGUAUAUUUGAGAAUGCUUAGCUCUUCUUAUUUCAACUGGGUUUUAAAUUGUAACAGCAUAUGGUAAACUGUAGAAAGUUAAAACAUCGAGAUUACAUAAUCUGCAAUGUCGAGCUGUACAUCAGUUUUAUUAUCAACUCACUCUAUUAAAAAAAGAUCGAAUUUGAGGCCUUAUGGUAUGAGUCUAAAAUGGUAAUGUGUAACAAUUCGAGUGACAAUGUCAUUUUACGAGCAUUUAAAUCUCUGUUGCCGGAUUCCUUAACCGCAAGUCUUGCUCUUCACAUCUGUCGGAUGGUUUCCAAGUAAGCUCUGGGAGGGGCUGUCACUAGUUUUCUAUGUGUGAACGAAAGGUGGUUUUUGUUAUUUUCCUUGAAUGAACAAAGUUCUGUUCCCUUGUCUGCAAUAUGCAGGGAUGGAAAGGCCCCCAUGAUGACUCCACCUCACUCCAACAACCCAUGCUACAUCAACCUCAUUGAUCCAUAGUAAAUCAACAGGCUUCCGGAAGUGAGUGUUUAUACUUGUGCUAAAUCACCCAGGUGCAUAAGAAGCUCAAAAUUUGGGAGCUGUUAGUUCCCCAUUUGAUGCUUAAAGGCAAAUGUGCUCCUCGUGUUUGAUUUUAGUAUAAUAAUCUUGAUUGCAACUUUUAUAGGUGAGGUGCCUGCAAUUCUUCUCCAGGUUGGAGUUAUUGCAAGUUUAUGACCUAAGCUUAAGCCCCUGUUUUUUUUUUUUUUGAUAAGUGCCUAAGCCCCUGUUUGAUAAUGUAAUCGGUGCCUAUAUCUUCCCUUUCGUAGCGAGGAUAGGGUGCUUAUUGUUAUAUAAUGAAAAUCCUUCUUUA